AAUGAACGCUGGCGGCGCGCCUAAUACAUGCAAGUCGAGCGAGAAGACGUAGCAAUACGUUUGUAAAGCGGCGAACGGGUGAGGAAUACAUGGGUAACCUACCCUCGAGUGGGGAAUAACUAGCCGAAAGGUUAGCUAAUACCGCGUACGCUCCUUGGACUUCGGUUCAGGGAGGAAAGCGAUACCGUGGGUAUCGCGCUCUUGGUUGGGCUCAUGUCCUAUCAGCUUGUUGGUGAGGUAACGGCUCACCAAGGCUUCGACGGGUAGCUGGUCUGAGAGGACGAUCAGCCACACUGGCACUGCGACACGGGCCAGACUCCUACGGGAGGCAGCAGUAAGGAAUAUUGCGCAAUGGGCGAAAGCCUGACGCAGCGACGCCGC
rnacentral:rRNA from 1 species